UGGGGGAUAUUGCACAAUGGGCGAAAGCCUGAUGCAGCGACGCCGCGUGGGGGAUGAAGGCCUUCGGGUUGUAAACUUCUUUUGCUCUGAACAAGGCAUGCUAAUGGGUGUGUUGAGUGUAGGGGUUGAUUAGCGCCGGCUAACUACGUGCCAGCAGCCGCGGUAAUACGUAGGGCGCGAGCGUUGUCCGGAAUUAUUGGGCGUAAAGGGCUUGUAGGUGGCUGGUUGCGUCUGUCGUGAAAGCUCAUGGCUUAACUGUGGGUUUGCGGUGGGUACGGGCUGGCUUGAGUGCAGUAGGGGAGGCUGGAAUUCCUGGUGUAGCGGUGGAAUGCGCAGAUAUCAGGAGGAAUACCGGUGGCGAAGGGGGGUCUCUGGGCUGUUACUGACACUGAGGAGAGAAAGCAUGGGGAGCGAAGAGG
rnacentral:rRNA from 1 species